rnacentral:sRNA from 1 species
AAGCAACCAUGCCCAGUGAGUACCUGC